UGGGGAAUCUUGCGCAAUGGUCGAAAGACUGACGCAGCGACGCCGCGUGUGGGAGGACGCCUUUCGGGGUGUAAACCACUGUUGCCCGGGACGAACUAGCUCUUUCGAGAGCUUUGACGGUACCGGGUGAGGAAGCACCGGCUAACUCCGUGCCAGCAGCCGCGGUAAUACGGAGGGUGCGAGCGUUGUCCGGAAUCAUUGGGCGUAAAGGGCGCGUAGGUGGCCCGGUCAGUUCGUGGUGAAAGCGCGGGGCUCAACCCUGCGUCGGCCAUGAAUACUGCCGCGGCUGGAGCACUGUAGAGGCAGGCGGAAUUCCGGGUGUAGCGGUGGAAUGCGUAGAGAUCCGGAAGAACACCGGUGGCGAAGGCGGCCUGCUGGGCAGUUGCUGACACUGAGGCGCGACAGCGUGGGGAGCAAACAGGAUUAGAUACCCUGGUAGUCCACGCCGUAAACGAUGGGCACUAGGCGCUUGGGGGAGCGACCCCCCGAGGGCCGGCGCUAACGCAUUAAGUGCCCCGCCUGGGGAGUACGGCCGCAAGGCUGA
rnacentral:rRNA from 1 species